rnacentral:rRNA from 1 species
GACGAACGCUGGCGGCGUGCUUAACACAUGCAAGUCGAACGGAAAGGCCCUGCAUUUGUGGGGUGCUCGAGAGGCGCACGGGUGAGUAACACGUGUGUAACCUGCCCUUGACUUUGGGGUAACUUCAGGAAACUCGGGCUAAUAUCGGAUAGGAGCUCCUGCUGCAUGGGGGGGGUUGGAAAGUUUCGGCGGUUUGGGAUGGACUCGCGGCUUAUCAGCUUGUUGGUGGGGUAGUGGCUUACCAAGGCUUUGACGGGUAGCCGGCCUGAGAGGGUGACCGGCCACAUUGGGACUGAGGUACGGCCCAGACUCCUACGGGAGGCAGCAGUGGGGAAUAUUGCACAAUGGGCGGAAGCCUGAUGCAGCAACGCCGCGUGCGGGAUGACGGCCUUCGGGUUGUAAACCGCUUUCGCCUGUGACGAAGCGUGAGUGACGGUAAUGGGUAAAGAAGCACCGGCUAACUACGUG